rnacentral:rRNA from 1 species
AGUGAACGCUGGCGGUGGGCCUAACACAUGCAAGUCGAACGGCAGCACAGUAAGAGCUUGCUCUUACGGGUGGCGAGUGGCGGACGGGUGAGGAAUACAUCGGAAUCUACUUUUUCGUGGGGGAUAACGUAGGGAAACUUACGCUAAUACCGCAUACGACCUACGGGUGAAAGCAGGGAAUCUUCGGACCUUGCGCGAUUGAAUGAGCCGAUGUCGGAUUAGCUAGUUGGCGGGGUAAAGGCCCACCAAGGCGACGAUCCGUAGCUGGUCUGAGAGGAUGAUCAGCCACACUGGAACUGAGACACGGUCCAGACUCCUACGGGAGGCAGCAGUGGGGAAUAUUGGACAAUGGGCGCAAGCCUGAUCCAGCCAUACCGCGUGGGUGAAGAAGGCCUUCGGGUUGUAAGGCCCUUUUGUUGGGAAAGAAAAGCAGCAGGUUAAUACCCCGCUGUUCUGACGGUACCCAAAGAAUAAGCACCGGCUAACUUCGUG